rnacentral:rRNA from 1 species
CCUACGGGAGGCAGCAGUGAGGAAUAUUGGUCAAUGGACGAGAGUCUGAACCAGCCAAGUAGCGUGAAGGAUGACUGCCCUAUGGGUUGUAAACUUCUUUUAUAUGGGAAUAAAACAGGGUAUGCAUACCCUCUUGUAUGUACCAUAUGAAUAAGCAUCGGCUAACUCCGUGCCAGCAGCCGCGGUAAUACGGAGGAUCCGAGCGUUAUCCGGAUUUAUUGGGUUUAAAGGAUGCGUAGGUGGAUUGUUAAGUCAGUUGUGAAAGUUUGCGGCUCAACCGUAAAAUUGCAGUUGAAACUGGCAGUCGUGAGUACAGUAGAGGUGGGCGGAAUGCGUGGUGUAGCGGUGAAAUGCUUAGAUAUCACGAAGAACUCCGAUUGCGAAGGCAGCUCACUGGACUGCAACUGACACUGAUGCACGAAAGUGUGGGUAUCAAACAGGAUUAGAUACCCCUGUAGUC